CAAUUCCCAGCACCUACUUGGCAGUUCACAGUGGUCUGUGUCUCCAGUUCCAGGGGUUCUGAUACUUUCAUGCACAUAAAAUAAAAGUUAAAUAAAUUGUUUUUAAAAACAUGGAUAGUCAAAAGACAUGAUGAUAGAUCCCUAGAGCAAGGAGGAUGGCAUAGGUUGUAUUGGAAGAAAUUACAAUACUUACUAUAUCGCCAGAGAGCAUAGGUUGUGCUAUAUCACAGAACCAGUGUAGGCCCCCAUGGGAGCAUAAUUGCUGAACAGGUACAUCAUGCUUGUACAUGUAGAAAGAAGUAGGUUGAAAUAAAAGAAGAAUUGAAAUACAGGAUGUUCAUAGUUUGCCACACCAAUAAGAUUAACAUGGAAAGUCUCCCAUCAGUAUAACAAAAAGUUGUUAUAUUUUUACCCCCACUGGAACUUGUAAAUAAGACCAAUUUGGUAACAUUACUUACAUAUGAAUAGUAUGAACAUCAAUAACAUUAACAUAAGUGGGUCUUCCAUAUGACAGUCCCUACUCUGACGGGGAGGCGAAACUACUUGUUAAGCCAGAGAGGUGUGUGACAUAGGUAUCUUGACCUCUGGAGAGUCAGUGACUGAACCACCCUUCAAAGAGAGAGGUGCCCAGAGGCCAGGUUUUUGGACUAACCUGCACUGUUUUGUGUUUCUUACAGACGUUCCCACAAGCCUGCACUUCCAGAGCAUGCUGAAGUCUCAGUGGCAAAAUAAGCCUUUUGACAAGAUCAAACCUACCAAAAAGUUUUCACUUAAGCACAGAGCACCCAUGCCAUGCAGUCUGUCAGAUCCAGUUCGCAAAGACAGACAUAAGUUGGUCAACUCCUUCCUUACAACAGCCAAGCUGUCCCAUCACCAAACCCGGCCUGACAGGACCCACAGGCAGCACUUAGACGAUGUGGGGGCUGUGCCCAUGGUGGAGCGAGUGACAGCUCCAAAAGCAGAGCGCUUGCUCAAUCUACCGCCACCUGUACAUGACCCAAACCACAGCAAAAUGAGAUUGCGAGACCAUUCAUCUGAGAGAAGUGAAGGUAGGGCCAGGCCCAGCACCUCUACCUGCAUUGGCACUUGCUCAGAGCUUUCUGGGACAGCCCAAGCUUCUCUUAAAACCCCCUAUCCCAAGCUUUGUCCAUUACUUUCUAGAAAGGCAUGGUAGGGGGCACUAUUGCUUCUAAACGCAGGUCACUUCUUACUGCUACAUCAUCUGCCUGGUCCCUUAUUUCCCAUCAACUAGUUGCUGCAGCUUUUUAUCCUCUAGGCUUAAAAAGCAU
rnacentral:lncRNA from 1 species